rnacentral:rRNA from 1 species
UUAAGCGACUAAGCGUACACGGUGGAUGCCCUGGCAGUCAGAGGCGAUGAAGGACGUGCUAAUCUGCGAAAAGCGUCGGUAAGGUGAUAUGAACCGUUAUAACCGGCGAUGUCCGAAUGGGGAAACCCAGUGCAAUUCGUUGCACUAUCGUUAACUGAAUACAUAGGUUAACGAGGCGAACCGGGGGAACUGAAACAUCUAAGUACCCCGAGGAAAAGAAAUCAACCGAGAUUCCCCCAGUAGCGGCGAGCGAACGGGGAGCAGCCCAGAGUCUGAAUCAGCUUGUGUGUUAGUGGAACGGUCUGGAAAGUCCGACGGUACAGGGUGAUAGUCCCGUACACCAAAAUGCACAGGUUGUGAACUCGAAGAGUAGGGCGGGACACGUGGUAUCCUGUCUGAAUAUGGGGGGACCAUCCUCCAAGGCUAAAUACUCCUGACUGACCGAUAGUGAACCAGUACCGUGAGGGAAAGGCGAAAAGAACCCCGGCGAGGGGAGUGAAAAAGAACCUGAAACCGUGUACGUACAAGCAGUGGGAGCACCUUCGGGUGUGACUGCGUACCUUUUGUAUAAUGGGUCAGCGACUUAUAUUCUGUAGCAAGGUUAACCGUAUAGGGGAGCCGCAGGGAAACCGAGUCUUAACUGGGCGUUAAGUUGCAGGGUAUAGACCCGAAACCCGGUGAUCUAGCCAUGGGCAGGUUGAAGGUUGGGUAACACUAACUGGAGGACCGAACCGACUAAUGUUGAAAAAUUAGCGGAUGACUUGUGGCUGGGGGUGAAAGGCCAAUCAAACCGGGAGAUAGCUGGUUCUCCCCGAAAGCUAUUUAGGUAGCGCCUCGUGAACUCAUCUUCGGGGGUAGAGCACUGUUUCGGCUAGGGGGUCAUCCCGACUUACCAACCCGAUGCAAACUACGAAUACCGAAGAAUGUUAUCACGGGAGACACACGGCGGGUGCUAACGUCCGUCGUGAAGAGGGAAACAACCCAGACCGCCAGCUAAGGUCCCAAAGUCAUGGUUAAGUGGGAAACGAUGUGGGAAGGCACAGACAGCCAGGAUGUUGGCUUAGAAGCAGCCAUCAUUUAAAGAAAGCGUAAUAGCUCACUGGUCGAGUCGGCCUGCGCGGAAGAUGUAACGGGGCUAAACCAUGCACCGAAGCUGCGGCAGCGACACUAUGUGUUGUUGGGUAGGGGAGCGUUCUGUAAGCCUGCGAAGGUGUGCUGUGAGGCAUGCUGGAGGUAUCAGAAGUGCGAAUGCUGACAUAAGUAACGAUAAAGCGGGUGAAAAGCCCGCUCGCCGGAAGACCAAGGGUUCCUGUCCAACGUUAAUCGGGGCAGGGUGAGUCGACCCCUAAGGCGAGGCCGAAAGGCGUAGUCGAUGGGAAACAGGUUAAUAUUCCUGUACUUGGUGUUACUGCGAAGGGGGGACGGAGAAGGCUAUGUUAGCCGGGCGACGGUUGUCCCGGUUUAAGCAUGUAGGCUGAUUGUCCAGGCAAAUCCGGAUAAUCAAGGCUGAGGUGUGAUGACGAGGCACUACGGUGCUGAAGUAACAAAUGCCCUGCUUCCAGGAAAAGCCUCUAAGCAUCAGGUAACAUCAAAUCGUACCCCAAACCGACACAGGUGGUCAGGUAGAGAAUACCAAGGCGCUUGAGAGAACUCGGGUGAAGGAACUAGGCAAAAUGGUGCCGUAACUUCGGGAGAAGGCACGCUGGUGUGUAGGUGAAGUCCCUGCGGAUGGAGCUGAGACCAGUCGAAGAUACCAGCUGGCUGCAACUGUUUAUUAAAAACACAGCACUGUGCAAACACGAAAGUGGACGUAUACGGUGUGACGCCUGCCCGGUGCCGGAAGGUUAAUUGAUGGGGUUAUCCGUAAGGAGAAGCUCUUGAUCGAAGCCCCGGUAAACGGCGGCCGUAACUAUAACGGUCCUAAGGUAGCGAAAUUCCUUGUCGGGUAAGUUCCGACCUGCACGAAUGGCGUAAUGAUGGCCAGGCUGUCUCCACCCGAGACUCAGUGAAAUUGAACUCGCUGUGAAGAUGCAGUGUACCCGCGGCAAGACGGAAAGACCCCGUGAACCUUUACUAUAGCUUGACACUGAACAUUGAGCCUUGAUGUGUAGGAUAGGUGGGAGGCUUUGAAGCGUGGACGCCAGUCUGCGUGGAGCCAACCUUGAAAUACCACCCUUUAAUGUUUGAUGUUCUAACGUUGGCCCCUUAUCGGGGUUGCGGACAGUGUCUGGUGGGUAGUUUGACUGGGGCGGUCUCCUCCCAAAGCGUAACGGAGGAGCACGAAGGUUAGCUAAUCCUGGUCGGACAUCAGGAGGUUAGUGCAAUGGCAUAAGCUAGCUUGACUGCGAGCGUGACGGCGCGAGCAGGUGCGAAAGCAGGUCAUAGUGAUCCGGUGGUUCUGAAUGGAAGGGCCAUCGCUCAACGGAUAAAAGGUACUCCGGGGAUAACAGGCUGAUACCGCCCAAGAGUUCAUAUCGACGGCGGUGUUUGGCACCUCGAUGUCGGCUCAUCACAUCCUGGGGCUGAAGUAGGUCCCAAGGGUAUGGCUGUUCGCCAUUUAAAGUGGUACGCGAGCUGGGUUUAGAACGUCGUGAGACAGUUCGGUCCCUAUCUGCCGUGGGCGCUGGAGAAUUGAGGGGGGCUGCUCCUAGUACGAGAGGACCGGAGUGGACGCAUCACUGGUGUUCGGGUUGUCAUGCCAAUGGCACUGCCCGGUAGCUAAAUGCGGAAGAGAUAAGUGCUGAAAGCAUCUAAGCACGAAACUUGCCCCGAGAUGAGUUCUCCCUGAGACUUUAAGUCUCCUGAAGGAACGUUAAAGACGAUGACGUUGAUAGGCCGGGUGUGUAAGCGCAGCGAUGCGUUGAGCUAACCGGUACUAAUGAACCGUGAGGCUUAACCUU